rnacentral:pre_miRNA from 1 species
ACUUAUGUCUACUCCCUGUGGGUGUUAACUCGGUCAGAUGCUAAUUUAUUUCCAUCACCGGGUUAACAUUCAUCCGGGAAGGCCAUACAAA